rnacentral:rRNA from 1 species
UCAUCGUAGGGUUAGUCGGGUCCUAAGCUGAGUCCGAAAGGGGUAAGUGAUGGCAAAUUGGUUAAUAUUCCAAUACCAACUAUCUAUUUAGUACAAUGGGGGGACGCGUAGGGUUAAGCAAGGUCACUGAUGGAAUAGUGGCUCGAAAGGCGUAGGUAAGAAGAGUUGGAAAAUCCAUCUUCUGUUUCCGAAACCUGAUAGGCUGAUGAAUUUCUUAGGAAUGCAAUCAGAAUUGUUGAUACCGUCGUGCCAAGAAAAGCCUCUAAGUGUAUAGAUAGUUGCCCGUACCGUAAACCGACACAGGUGGGUGAGAUGAGUAUUCUAAGGCGCGUGGAAGAACCAUUGUUAAGGAACUCUGCGAACUAGCACCGUAUCUUCGGUAGAAGGUGUGCCUACCAUCGUGAAUAGCGACAGAGGUUGCAACAAAGAGUCCCUCCCGACUGUUUAC